UGAUUCAAAAUGACUCCAGAUAAAUGGU
rnacentral:sRNA from 1 species